rnacentral:rRNA from 1 species
ACGUAGGGUGCAAGCGUUGUCCGGAAUUAUUGGGCGUAAAGAGCUCGUAGGCGGUCUGUUGCGUCGGCUGUGAAAACCCGGGGCUCAACCCCGGGCCUGCAGCCGAUACGGGCAGACUAGAGUUCGGCAGGGGAGACUGGAAUUCCUGGUGUAGCGGUGAAAUGCGCAGAUAUCAGGAGGAACGCCGGUGGCGAAGGCGGGUCUCUGGGCCGAUACUGACGCUGAGGAGCGAAAGCGUGGGGAGCGAACAGG